AUCGAACGCUGGCGGAAUGCUUUACACAUGCAAGUCGAACGGUAGAGGGGGCAACCCCUCGAGAGUGGCGAACGGGUGAGUAAUAUAUCGGAACGUGCCCAGUCGUGGGGGAUAACGUAGCGAAAGUUACGCUAAUACCGCAUACGAUCUAAGGAUGAAAGCGGGGGAUCGCAAGACCUCGCGCGAUUGGAGCGGCCGAUAUCAGAUUAGGUAGUUGGUGGGGUAAGGGCUCACCAAGCCAACGAUCUGUAGCUGGUCUGAGAGGACGACCAGCCACACUGGAACUGAGACACGGUCCAGACUCCUACGGGAGGCAGCAGUGGGGAAUUUUGGACAAUGGACGCAAGUCUGAUCCAGCCAUUCCGCGUGCAGGAUGAAGGCCCUCGGGUUGUAAACUGCUUUUGUACGGAUCGAAAAGGUCUCUCUUAAUACGGGGGACUCAUGACGGUACCGUAAGAAUAAGCACCGGCUAACUACGUGCCAGCCGCCGCCGUAA
rnacentral:rRNA from 1 species